ensembl:lncRNA
GCCAUUUAUCAAGUGGUUUAGGCUGAAUCUUCCUGACUGUUAGUUUAUCAGGCUGACUGGCUCUGUGGAUGUUACUGUGUGGACUGUGCUGGGUGGUGGGCAUGAUUCACUGGGCUGAGACUAUUGGACGAAGAAAGGUCCUAUCUGGCCUACUGCAGAUCUCUCUCCUCUCUGGCCUACUGCAGGUCUCUCUCCUCUCUGGCCUACUGCAGGUCUCUCUCCUCUCUGGCCUACUGCAGGUCUCUCUCCUCUCUGGCCUACUGCAGGUCUCUCUCCUCUCUGGCCUACUGCAGGUCUCUCUCCUCUCUGGCCUACUGCAGGUCUCUCUCCUCUCUGGCCUACUGCAGGGCUCUCUCCUCUCUGGCCGAGUCAUACUCUUCUCUGACCCAGCUCAGUGCACGCCUGGUCGAUGGACUUUAU